UUAAGCUUCGUUUUCUGUUGACUGUAGUUAGCACUAGGUUGAAUAAGUCCAAAGUUAGAACUAUGCAAUUCUGCAUCGACUAGUACAGACUAGCAGAUUGAUGAGUAAAGCGACAGGAAAGCUAAUUUAUCAGUCAUUAGAGCUCGCUAAUCGCUUGCAGUAGUAAAUGGGGUAGCUUACCAAUUUUGUCCCAUUCAUACUUAAUGGGUAGUGAUCAGAGUUCUGGCACUUUGUUAUUUGUCUUUCGAAUCCGUUUCUUUCGGUAAGGACUACUCAAGAAGUUUGUUUGACAAUCCUGCGAAGUAGCAAGAAGUCAUUUGGAAUAGCUGGCCUAAAACUAUAAGCAAAAUCAUGACAACAAAUCUCAAGAUAAUGAGGCCAGCUCUAAUAUGCAUUGUUGUGCUGUGCGCUUCUGUCGCAGUCGUGCAAGGUGAUACAAUCCUGUCAUUCGAAACACGCUGCGUCACCGAAUUCAAGGGCUUCUGUAGUCCCUUUAGAUGCCCCAUUGGUACAAUAGAGGUCCAGGAUCCCCACACUGGCUGUAGCAAGGGUCCAUGCUGUAUUAUUGCGGCCGUGCGCUGGUGACACCAUCUCUGGUACUAAAACCAUGUAUCAAAGUUACGAAUAGACAAGGAAAACGAUGCUAAUUAUAUCUCUGUGUUGGCAUGAACAGAAUCGGCAGCUUUAAACGGAAAGUGCAAUACACAAAUUCCAAAUAAACUGAAACGAGUCUACUAA